AGACUCUUUCAGUACAUAUGGCCUCCUACACAAAGAUGAUCCUUGGGCCAGCAGCAUGGCUGUCACCUAGGGAUUUGUAAACGCAGACUCCUGGUUUGAAUUCAACUGAAUCAAAAAGAUUCAAAAGCUGGUGAAGUCUUGCUACCCAGGGGCUGGCGAGUCCUUAAAAGGAUUUAGCAGAUCUACACCACGACUUCCACACUUCUCCAGGGACAAUUCAAAAUUCACAACAUUUCCUCAAAGGAACGUGUUCACCUGGAAUUUAGGAGUCACAGGUACCACUCUGGGUACAGAAAAGGAGGAGCAUCUUGCAAUUUGCACAUCACAUGAAUCUGCAUCUCCAUCUAUCCAUCUAUCUGAAAACAUCAUAAGGAAAAAGAGGCGGAUCAGACCAACUAUAGCUUGGUCUGUGCUAUAGUUUGUGGCCCAGAGUUCAUCUCUUCUCAAUCCUCUUCAACUUUAUGUGAAUAGGAACUUUGAACCCUGUAGGACGCUACUUGGUAUAUCUAGGAAAUACAGCUAUUCAGGUUACAAUUU
rnacentral:lncRNA from 1 species